GACGAACGCUGGCGGCGUGCUUAACACAUGCAAGUCGAACGAAGAGCCAUUGAGGCUUUCUUCUAUCAAUCUUAGUGUCGCACGGGUGAGUAACGCGUAAUCAACCUUCCCUUCAGAGGGGGACAACAGUUGGAAACGACUGCUAAUACCGCAUACGAUCUAAUCUCGGCAUCGAGGAUAGAUGAAAGGUUGCCUCUACAUGUAAGCUAUCACUGGAGUUGGGGAGUGAGUCGGAUUAGCUAGUUGGAGGGGUAACGGCCCACCAAGGCGAUGAUAAGUAGGCGGUCCGGAAGGAAGAAUGGCCAAAAUGGGAACGAGAAACGGGCCAGAACUCUAAGGGGGGGAGCAGUGGGGAAACUUCCGAAAUGGACGGCAGUCUGACGGAGCAAAGCCGCGUGAGUGAUGACGGCCUUCGGGUUGGAAAGCUCUGUUAAUCGGGAAGAAAGGCCUUCUUGCGAAUAGUGAGAAGGAUUGACGGUACCGGAAUAGAAAGCAACGGCUAACUACGUG
rnacentral:rRNA from 1 species